rnacentral:lncRNA from 1 species
GAGUCCCUGGCAAGAGAUACUUCUCCCUUCCCCUCGCCCCUUGCCUCCCGGAGAUCCCCCACUGAGGACAGCCUGGAGGGCGGGCACAGGCACCAGUCAGCACCUUUGCUGGUGCAGAGCCAGGCUGGGGUCCCUGGGGCCUCGGUUUCCUCGGCUCUCCAACGGGGCUGGUCCCUUCCUCUCUUGCUUUCCCUCCGAUCCAGCCUCAGGGCAGAGGGGAAGGCCAAGGAACACACUUUGGCAGGUUGUUCAGAUUUCCCAGAGGUACACCCUUCAGGUUCCAUCCUGGAGGACAAUGGCCAGUGUUCUGGGAAUUUCAGCGGAUGAGGAUCCGAGAGGCUGAGUAACUUGCCUGAGGAAAAACAGUCAAAGAGUGGAAGUAUCACUUGGCUGCAUCUGGAUCCAGAG